GUUUACGACACUUCCGGCGACGCCCAGCGGCCGUUACUACUUAGAGCGCUGUGCCAGUGGGAGGCGGAGGUGGUACGGAGAGCGGAAGUUCCCUGGUACCUGACUGUCCCCGUGGAGUGAUGGCGAGCCUUCGCUCCGCACCUCCCAGCCUUAAUACCCUUUUACUUCUCCGGCUCCUGGACUUGGAUUCCAAGUGUAGAAAAAGCGGGACUUCCAGCACGUGGUGUGCUCUGGAGGUUUGGCGGUGAGGAUCAGAUUCUCAAAUGAGAGCUCACAGUCCUCUGGGAAUUGCUGUUGGGAAAAGCCUCCCUCUCCAGAAAACAAACAAACAAAAAAACCUUUUUUCCUUUUCAUCUGUGAUUUGGAGCCCAGGUCUCUGUCCAGAGCCGCGUGUUGGGCACUUCAGCCAAAGUUCCCUCCGUCUGAUCCUUGAGCUGCCCAGCCUGGAUGUUCACCCAUUCCUCUGGCUACACCCAUUAUGCCAAGUAUAUAUUAGUCCUUCUGCUACAACGUAUGGAUUUCUGUGAGCUGUACAUAUGCCUGGCACUCCUAUGUUGGCAAAGGAUCACUCGACCGCAUCAAGUAAUAGAGAGUGAAAAAUAGGUAGUAAGUAUUAGAAUAUGAAACUAGGUGUAAUUCAUUUAUAAUAUUUCCACGCUUCCCUUUCUUCCAGGUAAACCUGAGGACUUAGUUCCAUACCCAGAAAUAAACGAGCUAAUCUCUAAUCUAACAAGAGUUCCUCUGUGAUAGCCACAGAAAGGGGGAAGUUUGGUAAAAGUUGUCUUUCUACUAUCUCCUGAAUAUUGGCUCUGUGAAGAAUAUCCUAAAGUCCCUACUAAAUAGACCCACAAUGACUCAACACCCGUUUUAAGAAGGGGCAUUUUUUUACAGCCAUUGAAACAUUUCCCUGGAAUUUAAAACAUUUCUCUAGUAGGAGGUAACUUAAGCUACAAAUUCCCAAGAGAAAGGUCUAUAGUGAAAAUUAAUUAAUUAGAACCAUCUAAUUAGAUUAACCUCGUCCACGUCACCCAUAAUGCUUGUCAAUUCCAAGUCUGGAAAGUCUCCCACUCAUUUCCAAAAGAAACUGCUUUUCCUUUCUGAUCACUUCUAGGGGGGAAAGGGUCAAGAGGAAAGGGGGAAACACAACAUUAUUGAGUACCUUUUUGCCAGGUAGGCACUUCCAUGUCUCAUCUCUUAAUCCUCACAACAACCCUGUGAGGUAGGUAAUAUUAAUCCCCAUUGUCGCCAAUGAGAAAAUGGGCUCAGAGGAAUUCAGUCGCUUUCCCACGUCCACACAGUAAGUACAUCUGUCUAGUUUCAACUUCACGCCCUCUUUCUACCAGACCUCUCUAGAAGGUAUAGCUGGGAGACCCCUGACAACAGAGCAUCUAAGGUUUUUGGAUGGCAGUCACCUCGAUACCAAGAUGUUGGCAAAACUGGCAGGAUGGAUCAUCUCACCCUGUUGCUUCCUCGGCUUGUAAGGGAGAUUGUGUCCAGGAACCGCCUCCAGGAGGUAAGGAUUGGAUAUUGAACUUUACCAGUCCGUCUCAGUGACUAGAAAAUUCCUGGACAGUGGCCAUAGCAAAAGUUGUGGAGAAAGUUCUCUUCACAAUACUAGGAAAGUUUUACUUCCUUUAUGAUCUGUUCCUACAGCCAGGGAAAACAUGGCAGCUUGCUAGUUAAUGGCAA
rnacentral:lncRNA from 1 species